AAAAAAAAAAAACAGUGGGAAAGAACGUUAACGUUGAAAUAUCUCAGGGCGAUGGUGGGGCCCACUUUGAGAUGUGGAUCCACCUCAUUUUUGGGUCCAUGCCCUCAAAUGAGAUAGAAAAAUAGAUGGACUGGUGAAUUUCUUACAAACAUCAAAGUGGACCACGUACAGUCAGGGUGGGCUGGUACGGUACUAAUCCAACUUGCGAAUUGCAAUUGCCAGCUGCCGUAAAGCAAGGGCAGUUUUGUACAUUUUAAAAAUAUAAAAAUCAAUUCGUCGACUAACAGUUUGAACUAUAAGCAGGUUCAUAGAAAUAUUUAAAAAGCAGAAGGUUUUUGGUCUACAGCCAAAAAGCAGCGGCCACAUGACAAAAUCGUUAAUAAUAAAAAGAAAAACGUAGGUCGUACAGCGCCUUCCGGGUGACCGCAGUUACCUUGGCCAAAAUAUCUAUUAAGUCAAGCCCAUCUUAUCCGAAUGCGGCUUGUGAAUGGGCUUGGAUGGACUUAAUGCUGAACACGUGUGCGAAGUUGUACACGUACAGCUGGACUAUCUCAGACAAAUGAGUGAAAUUAGCAUUCCUCCCUCUUGCUGCGACAUUGCACGCACCGAGGACUGAAUUGAAGAGCGUCUCGGACAGAUUAGUGAAAUUAACAUCCCUCUUCUGCUUCAUCACUACACGCAUCGAGGAAAUAAUUUUCACACGCCCAUACCCAACGCUUCUCCAUCUCUCUUCUCUGCAGACUGAAAUCACGUUUCGAGUGAAUUCACGUUUCUUGAAAACCGAAUUAAAAUAGUAGGUGUAUGCGAGUCUUUUCCUAAAGUGGGUGAGAUUUUGGGCAGAGCCUCAACUGAAGAAAAAAGUAAGCUCUACCAUUUUACACUCAAUUAAAAAGCUCAUGCAUAGCUCUCUCUCUCUCUCUCU